rnacentral:rRNA from 1 species
CUGCAGAGGGUAGCCCUACUUCGCCUCGAUUU